AUUGAACGCUGGCGGCAGGCCUAACACAUGCAAGUCGAACGAGUGGCGGACGGGUGAGUCAUGUCUGGGAAACUGCCUGCUGGUGGGGGAUAACUACUGGAACCGGUAGCUAAUACCGCAUACCAUCGGAUGUGCCCAGCUGGGCUUAGCUAGUAGGUGGGGUAAAGGGGCACCUAGGUGACGAUCCCUAGCGGGUCUGAGAGGAUGACAAGCGACACGGGAACUGAGACACGGUCCAGACGCCUACGGGAGGCAGCAGUGGGGAAUAUUGCGCAAUGGGCGCAAGCCUGAUACAGCCAUGCCGCGUGUAUGAAGAAGGCCUUCGGGUUGGAAAGUACUUUCAGCGGGGAGGCGUUACCCGCAGAAGAAGCACCGGCUAACUCCGUGCCAGCAGCCGCGGUAAUAC
rnacentral:rRNA from 1 species